rnacentral:rRNA from 1 species
ACUGAAUAGAUACCCCGGUAGUCCCAGCCGUAAACGAUGCUCGCUAGGUGUCAGGCAUGGCGCGACCGUGUCUGGUGCCGCAGGGAAGCCGUGAAGCGAGCCACCUGGGAAGUACGGCCGCAAGGCUGAAACUUAAAGGAAUUGGCGGGGAGCACAACAACGGGUGGAGCCUGCGGUUUAAUUGGACUCAACGCCGGACAACUCACCGGGGGCGGACAGCAAUAUGUAGGCCAAGCUGAAGACUUUGCCUGAAUCGCUGAGAGGAGGUGCAUGGCCGUCGCCAGUUCGUACUGUGAAGCAUCCUGUUAAGUCAGGCAACGAGCGAGACCCGUGCCCACUGUUACCAGCAUGUCCUCCGGGACGAUGGGUACUCUGUGGGGACCGCCUAUGUUAAAUAGGAGGAAGGUGCGGGCCACGGUAGGUCAGUAUGCCCCGAAUCUCCCGGGCUACACGCGGGCUACAAUGGAUGGGACAAUGGGUCCCUACUCCGAAAGGAGCUGGUAAUCUCACAAACCCAUUCGUAGUUCGGAUCGAGGGCU